UACGUAGGGUGCAAGCGUUGUCCGGAAUUAUUGGGCGUAAAGGGCUCGUAGGCGGUCUGUCACGUCGGGAGUGAAAACUCAGGGCUUAACCCUGAGCCUGCUUCCGAUACGGGCAGACUAGAGGUAUGCAGGGGAGAACGGAAUUCCCGGUGUAGCGGUGAAAUGCGCAGAUAUCGGGAGGAACACCAGUAGCGAAGGCGGCACUCUGGGCCGGUACUGACGCUGAGGAGCGAAAGCGUGGGGAGCAGAACGAGG
rnacentral:rRNA from 1 species